rnacentral:lncRNA from 1 species
AUGCUCCCUCCUAUAGACCCUGCUACUUUCUUCUCUCUUUACAAAGAGAUAGCUCAGAGGGCUUGGAGCUCAGCCAAUGAGGGAGCUAAGAAAAGGAGGAGCAACUAAAUAAAAGUUGAGGGCUUUACGAUUGUUAUUACCUUUCACUUGAUGAACCACAAUUAGAGGGGGUUUUGUUUGAAGAUAAAUACCUUGAGGAUGUUGUCCAAGUUGAAUGAAGUUGAUGGUUGUUGACUUGUUAUUAGUUGUGUUAACCUUUUAUUUGAACCUUUGGAUUGAUAAUGUUUGAUUGUCAUAAACUAGUA